rnacentral:rRNA from 1 species
ACGGUCCUAAGGUAGCGAAAUUCCUUGUCAGGUAAGUUCUGACCCGCACGAAAGGUGUAACGAUUUGGGCGCUGUCUCGGCAGCAGACUCGGUGAAAUCUUAGUACCUGUGAAAAUGCAGGUUACCCGCAACUAGACGGAAAGACCCCAUGGAGCUUUACUGCAGCCUGAUAUUGAAUUCUGGUCAUACAUGUACAGGAUAGGUGGGAGACAAAGAGACGUGCACGCCAGUGUACGAGGAGUCGACGUUGGGAUACCACUCUUGUGUGACCGGGGUUCUAACCUGGUAUCGAUAACAGGUACGGGGAGAGUGUCAGGUGGGCAGUUUGACUGGGGCGGUCGCCUCCCAAAGAGUAACGGAGGCGCCCAAAGGUACGCUCAGAUUGGAUGGAAACCAAUCGUCGAGUGCAAUUGCAGAAGCGUGCUUGACUGUGAGACUUACAAGUCGAACAGGGACGAAAGUCGGGAAUAGUGAUCCGGCGGUGCCGAAUGGAAGGGCCGUCGCUCAACGGAUAAAAGCUACCCUGGGGAUAACAGGCUGAUCUCGCCCAAGAGUUCACAUCGACGGCGAGGUUUGGCACCUCGAUGUCGGCUCAUCGCAUCCUGGAGCUGGAUUCGGUUCCAAGGGUUGGGCUGUCCGCCCAUUAAAGCGGUACGCGAGCUGGGUUCAGAACGUCGUGAGACAGUUCGGUCCCUAUCUGUUGUGGGCGAAGGAGAUCUGCGGAGAGCUGUCCUCAGUACGAGAGGACCGGGAUGGACCUACCGCUGGUGCACCGGUUGUUCCGCCAGGGGCAUAGCCGGGUAGCUAAGUAGGGAAAGGAUAAGCGCUGAAAGCAUCUAAGCACGAAGCCUACUCCAAGAUGAGAUCUCCCAUUCGCAAGAAGUAAGACCCCUUAAAGACGAUAAGGUAGAUAGGCCAGGGAUGGAAGUGCAGUGAUGUACGGAGUUGACUGGUACUAAUCGGUCGAGGACUUAAUCAG